GGUCACUUUUAAUGUGCGUCAAAUCUCUUUUAAUGACGUUGAUGUUAAUUCUUUGUGCAUGUAUUUCACUAUAUGCAAUGUUUAAAUAAGAAAUUAUACUCAAAGAUGUUUCAAGGCAUUUUGCAAUCAAAUGUCUUACUAGUAAGUCUGACAAGUCUUCUUUGAUCAGAGUCAAACAUAUCUACAACAACUAUAGCUCAAAUUUCUAAACAGAAAACAAACUAAAACUAGAGCUAAAAAGUAAAGACAGCCAAGAUGAAAAUAUGGUGAUUUUGUAAAAAAAAAAAAAAGCCUGCAUUUGAAAUUUAGAGCUUUGCUUAUUCUAAGUUUGCAACUACAAAGACAAUUAUUUGUU
rnacentral:sRNA from 1 species